AGGGACGUAGUCUAGCAUGGUUUUAAUUGUUUUCUGACCAAGAGGUCGCGGGUUCGAAUCCCGUCGUCCCUA
rnacentral:tRNA from 1 species